GACGAACGCUGGCGGCGUGCUUAACACAUGCAAGUCGAACGGCAAGGCCCUGCUUUUGUGGGGUGCUCGAGUGGCGAACGGGUGAGUAACACGUGAGUAACCUGCCCUUGACUUUGGGAUAACUUCAGGAAACUGGGGCUAAUACCGGAUAGGAGCUCCUGCUGCAUGGUGGGGGUUGGAAAGUUUCGGCGGUUGGGGAUGGACUCGCGGCUUAUCAGCUUGUUGGUGGGGUAGUGGCUUACCAAGGCUUUGACGGGUAGCCGGCCUGAGAGGGUGACCGGCCACAUUGGGACUGAGAUACGGCCCAGACUCCUACGGUAGGCAGCAGUGGGGAAUAUUGCACAAUGGGCGGAAGCCUGAUGCAGCAACGCCGCGUGCGGGAUGACGGCCUUCGGGUUGUAAACCGCUUUCUCCUGUGACGAAGCGUGAGUGACGGUAAUGGGUAAAGAAGCACCGGCUAACUACGUG
rnacentral:rRNA from 1 species